rnacentral:rRNA from 1 species
AGCUGGCGUAUCAGCCGUUGCUUUUGGAGCGGUGCACUUGCCUGUCGGCGGGUCAACAUCAUUUUGGCUCGGGAUAAAAAGCCGGGAGAAGGUAGCCCCUCUCGGGGGGUGUUAUAGCUCACGGUCAUGUCUUGGGCUGGACUGAGGUCUGCAGCGUUAUUUGGGUAGCCAGUCGCCUCUCGAAGCUUUUCUGUAUACAGCACGCUGACUGCGGGACGGUCUAGGGAGCACGGUUGGGAUUCCACACCAACGCUUAGGAUGUUGACGAAAUGGUUUUAAACGACCCGUCUUGAAACACGGACCAAGGAGUC